UCAUAAAGGAAAAAGGCUAGAAAUUGUAUAUGUAGGAAGGUGUUAUCAUAGGAUGCAUUCCUUUCAAUUGCCUAUACGAUUCUCAUUUUAAAAUCUUAUGAGAAGGGAUAUGUAAUUCCUUGUAAUUCCUUUAUAGUACCUUUUAACUCACAAGAUUUGCAACUCAUUAUUCUCUUUUAAUCUUAAAAAAUAAAUAGAAACAAAAAAAAUUUUGAUGCCAUUUCUUGCCAAUCCGAUAUAAAACAAAUAUAUUUUUAUAAUAAAAAAAUAAUAGGAUGACUUUAUAUAAUAAAUAUUAAAAUGAUUAUAUCUAAUAAACAUUUUUUUAUAGUAUCAAGUUAUCAAAAUUUUACUUUUAAAUCUUUAAUAUAAUUUUUUUAAAUAACUCAAUGCGUUAUAUAAUCAAAUCCUUCCUGCUUUUGAUUCUAGUAUUACAAACCAUAAAAGGGUAUCAAUUUGGUGCUCAUAGGCAUGAAUCAAGAAUUAAGAGAUCUAUCAUGUGCCCGCCAGGGAUUAAAAAAGUCAAUUGUAGGAUGUCUCCCUGUUUAGGCACUAAGUGCCGAAGUUAUCCUCUGGCAAAUUGUGUUCCUAAUUAUUGUGGGGGUUGCUAUUACGAUUAUUAUUUCAACGGAAGAAAGAUUAAAUGCAACUAACGAAUCAAAUAUUGCCAACUUAUAAAAAAGAAAAUAAAAA